rnacentral:siRNA from 1 species
UAACAGGCUUCCGGUUUCUGC